CUUUCCAUGUCGACAACAAAAUUCUCAGAAGUUCUCUGGAUUCUCAUCUUUCCCAGUACGUCAUAAGCCUUGCUAGAUCCUCUGAGAGAGAGAGAGAGAGAGAGAGAGAGAGAGAGGAAGAGAGAGAGGGAGAGAGAGAGUGAG